GACGAACGCUGGCGGCGUGCUUAACACAUGCAAGUCGAACGCUGAAGCUCAGCUUUUGUUGGGUGGACGAGUGGCGAACGGGUGAGUAACACGUGAGUAACCUGCCCCCUUCUUUGGGAUAACGCCCGGAAACGGGUGCUAAUACUGGAUAUUCACUGGUCUUCGCAUGGGGGUUGGUGGAAAGGGUUUUUCUGGUGGGGGAUGGGCUCGCGGCCUAUCAGCUUGUUGGUGGGGUGAUGGCCUACCAAGGCUUUGACGGGUAGCCGGCCUGAGAGGGUGACCGGUCACAUUGGGACUGAGAUACGGCCCAGACUCCUACGGGAGGCAGCAGUGGGGAAUAUUGCACAAUGGGCGCAAGCCUGAUGCAGCGACGCCGCGUGAGGGAUGGAGGCCUUCGGGUUGUGAACCUCUUUCGCUCAUGGUCAAGCCGCAACAAUGGUUGUGGUGAGGGUAGUGGGUAAAGAAGCGCCGGCUAACUACGUG
rnacentral:rRNA from 1 species